GCAAUGGCAAUGAAACUUUCAGAAGGUAGUUGUCUCUGUCCUGCUCCUGUUAACAGAGGAUUAUCAGCUUUUCAUUUCUUCCAGCACCUGGUCUCCUUCCAGAGCAACUAGUCUACUCCGUUCCUUCCUCUAGGAAGCUUUUACCUAUGAAAAUCAAACAACACCUUAUUUAAUACAGAAACAAAAUGUGGCAGUUCCUUUUGGUGUUUUAUGUGAUCCAAGGAACUGUGUCUUCAGAAUGCGAUACUACAGAUGUGAAUCCUGAAGUAUACAUGAAUAUUAGUGAGAUUAUCCGGCAUGAAGGAUACCCAGCUGAAGAAUAUGAAGUGAUAACAGAUGAUGGUUACAUCCUCACGUUAAACAGAAUUCCUAAAAGACAAGAGUGGUCACGUAAGUAAUUAUGCUUGAUCUGGAGCUUUAUUGAUACAUGGAAUAAGCUUGAGGAAAAAACUGCCAUACUAUUUGCAUAGGGCCUGUUCUUAAGUGUUCAAUACUGAGAACAC